AGUCGUACGCUUCUUUUUCACCGGAGCUUGCUCCACCGGAAAAAGAAGAGUGGCGAACGGGUGAGUAACACGUGGGUAACCUGCCCAUCAGAAGGGGAUAACACUUGGAAACAGGUGCUAAUACCGUAUAACAAUCGAAACCGCAUGGUUUUGAUUUGAAAGGCGCUUUCGGGUGUCGCUGAUGGAUGGACCCGCGGUGCAUUAGCUAGUUGGUGAGGUAACGGCUCACCAAGGCUACGAUGCAUAGCCGACCUGAGAGGGUGAUCGGCCACAUUGGGACUGAGACACGGCCCAAACUCCUACGGGAGGCAGCAGUAGGGAAUCUUCGGCAAUGGACGAAAGUCUGACCGAGCAACGCCGCGUGAGUGAAGAAGGUUUUCGGAUCGUAAAACUCUGUUGUUAGAGAAGAACAAGGAUGAGAGUAACUGUUCAUCCCUUGACGGUAUCUAACCAGAAAGCCACGGCUAACUACGUGCCAGCAGCCGCGGUAAUACGUAGGUGGCAAGCGUUGUCCGGAUUUAUUGGGCGUAAAGCGAGCGCAGGCGGUUUCUUAAGUCUGAUGUGAAAGCCCCCGGCUCAACCGGGGAGGGUCAUUGGAAACUGGGAGACUUGAGUGCAGAAGAGGAGAGUGGAAUUCCAUGUGUAGCGGUGAAAUGCGUAGAUAUAUGGAGGAACACCAGUGGCGAAGGCGGCUCUCUGGUCUGUAACUGACGCUGAGGCUCGAAAGCGUGGGGAGCAAACAGGAUUAGAUACCCUGGUAGUCCACGCCGUAAACGAUGAGUGCUAAGUGUUGGAGGGUUUCCGCCCUUCAGUGCUGCAGCUAACGCAUUAAGCACUCCGCCUGGGGAGUACGACCGCAAGGUUGAAACUCAAAGGAAUUGACGGGGGCCCGCACAAGCGGUGGAGCAUGUGGUUUAAUUCGAAGCAACGCGAAGAACCUUACCAGGUCUUGACAUCCUUUGACCACUCUAGAGAUAGAGCUUCCCCUUCGGGGGCAAAGUGACAGGUGGUGCAUGGUUGUCGUCAGCUCGUGUCGUGAGAUGUUGGGUUAAGUCCCGCAACGAGCGCAACCCUUAUUGUUAGUUGCCAUCAUUCAGUUGGGCACUCUAGCAAGACUGCCGGUGACAAACCGGAGGAAGGUGGGGAUGACGUCAAAUCAUCAUGCCCCUUAUGACCUGGGCUACACACGUGCUACAAUGGGAAGUACAACGAGUCGCGAAGUCGCGAGGCUAAGCUAAUCUCUUAAAGCUUCUCUCAGUUCGGAUUGUAGGCUGCAACUCGCCUACAUGAAGCCGGAAUCGCUAGUAAUCGCGGAUCAGCACGCCGCGGUGAAUACGUUCCCGGGCCUUGUACACACCGCCCGUCACACCACGAGAGUUUGUAACACCCGAAGUCGGUGAGGUAACCUUUGAG
rnacentral:rRNA from 1 species